AUGGAGUUAUGUUUGUCUCAUAUGCUUCAUCUUUUUAGUAUCUUUCGUGAGUAUGAUGGAAAGGAAAAUUGUGCCAAAGUGCUAGAAGAAGAAUUACAUAGAAUGCCUGGCAUGAAAUAUGUGAAUGAUGAGCAUGAUUGCAAUGUUGUUAGUAUGAAUUCCUUGAAUAUCCAUGAUGCUAAUGAUAUGCAAAGCCACAAGCUUGGGGAAGCUAUGUUUGAUGAAGAUGAUAUUUUUUGUCCCCCAAGCUUUGAUGAGCAAAUUUACUAUGAUGAAAGCAUGCCUCCUAUCUAUGAUGAUUAUUGUGAUGACAUGUAUGCUUUAAAGAAUAAUGAUAACCAUGAAACUUGUCAUCUUGAUCUUAAUUUUCAAUCAUAUGAUAGUUAUUUUGUUGAGUUUGCUCCCACUACUAUUGAUGAGAAGAAUUUUGCUUAUGUGGAGAGUAGUAAAUUUUCUAUGCUUGUAGGUCAUGAAAAGAAUGCUUUAGGUGCUGUUUAUAUUGUUGAAUUCAUUCAUGAUGCUACUGAAAAUUAUUAUGAGGGAGGAACAUAUGCUUGUAGGAGUUGCAAUAAUGUCAAGUUUCCUCUCUAUGUGCUUAAAAUCUUGAAGUUAUGCUUGUUUUACCUUCCUAUGCAAGUUGAUUAUUGUUCUCAUAAUUUGUUUGCUCACAAAAUCCCUAUUCAUAGGAAGUGGGUUAGACUUAAAUGUGCUAGUCAUAUGCUUCAUGAUGCUCCCGCUAUGUUUCAAUUCUUAUCCUUUUUGUGA
rnacentral:rRNA from 1 species